rnacentral:rRNA from 1 species
CUGAAAGCAUCUAAGCACGAAACCCUCCUCAAGAUGAGAUCUCUUUUAAGGGUCGUUGUAGAUGACGACGUUGAUAGGCUGCAGGUCUAAAGGUGGUAACAUCAAAGCCGAGCAGUACUAAUUACCCGUAAGCUUUCAUUUUUUUUAU